UCCAGACUCCUACGGGAGGCAGCAGUGGGGGAUAUUGCACAAUGGGGGGAACCCUGAUGCAGCGACGCCGCGUGGGUGAAGGAGCGUUUCGGCGCGUAAAGCCCUAUCGGCAGGGAAGAAGGAGGACGGUACCUGACUAAGAAGCCCCGGCUAACUACGUGCCAGCAGCCGCGGUAAUACGUAGGGGGCAAGCGUUAUCCGGAUUUACUGGGUGUAAAGGGGGCGCAGACGGCAGCGCAAGCCAGGAGUGAAAGCCCGGGGCCCAACCCCGGGACUGCUCUUGGAACUGCGCGGCUGGAGUGCAGGAGGGGCAGGCGGAAUUCCUGGUGUAGCGGUGAAAUGCGUAGAUAUCAGGAGGAACACCGGUGGCGAAGGCGGCCUGCUGGACUGCAACUGACGUUGAGGCCCGAAAGCGUGGGGAGCAAACAGGAUUAGAUACCCGAGUAC
rnacentral:rRNA from 1 species